GGGGCUAGCGUUGCUCGGAAUUACUGGGCGUAAAGGGAGCGUAGGCGGACAUUUAAGUCAGGGGUGAAAUCCCAGAGCUCAACUCUGGAACUGCCUUUGAUACUGGAUGUCUUGAGUGUGAGAGAGGUAUGUGGAACUCCGAGUGUAGAGGUGAAAUUCGUAGAUAUUCGGAAGAACACCAGUGGCGAAGGCGACAUACUGGCUCAUUACUGACGCUGAGGCUCGAAAGCGUGGGGAGCAAACAGG
rnacentral:rRNA from 1 species